rnacentral:tRNA from 1 species
UCCCUGGUAGUUCAAUGGCUAGGACUCUGCGCUCCCAGUGCAGGUGGUCUGGGUUCAACCCCUGUUCAGGGAA